rnacentral:lncRNA from 1 species
CUUCAGUCUGAGUUUCAUCAGCGCUUUCAUAGGGAGACUCUGAGCGCUCAUCUCCUGGGCCAUCGAAGAUCUCAUUCUCAGUUAAGGAAGCUGAAGGAGAUGAACUUUUGCUAAAAGCAAGAGUUGAAGAUUCUGCUGCUGAAGCCCGAUUUCGCUUCUUCAGAGGUUUACAUGCAUCAGACAGAUUUUUCGUUGCUGACUGGUUCUUUUGUGAAGAGGAGGUUUCUGUGACCUUAGUAGAGUUUGUUUUUGCUGUUUUGUCAUUGCUUGUCUCCCUCUUCCGAUUAUUCUGUUUAUCCAUCCUGAGUCUUUUCCUAGGUGCCUCCUGAACUUCAAAAUCUUCUGUAGGUUCCUUUGUCCUCUUUUUUUGGUUUCUUUUAUUUCCAUGUAAGUUACUUCUGGAUCUUGAUCUCCUUUUAGGUGAGUCUUGAAACACUUUACGUUUGGCCUCUCCAAUAUUCUUCAAUGAUGAACCAGAGUCUUCUUCAGAUUUGGGAGAGGUCACUAUGGCAAACUUUGUGUUAUAGCGAGCUUUCUGUUUUUCACUAAGCAUGUUCCACUGCGAUUCAAGCAACUCUUCAAUCUCCU